GCGGUUGGAGACCUGGACCGAGCUUCACAUAAACACCAAAACGCGGGAAUAUUUAGCGGGAAAGAAGGAAGCUUGAUUGCUGAAGUUGAACAAAGUUUCUGACUUUUUGAACUACUAGAUUUGACUUUCCAUCAUCGGAAUGGCUGCUGUAGAAGACGAACAACCUUCUUCAUCAACUUCUACGUUUAGGUGUGUGAAUUUAAUGGUCUUUAUUUCGAACAAGGGUCAAUCGAUUUUGAACAAGCUUAAUUUGAACAAGGGUCAACUCGGAAGUCUACAAAUUUGUACUUGACAGUACAAAUUUGUAGACUUUUUCACGACAUUUUAAAAUACUACAACUAACUUUUGUGCUACGAAUUCUUUGGUUUAGUAAAGAUGAAGUGAACAAACUGAUGAGUCAAGGCAAACGACAUUUUGUGUGCAAUGAAAUUGUUGAAGCAGUGAAAUCCUUUGAAGUUGCAUGCCUCAUGUUG